ACUUAAUAAGUGAAAAACCUGUAUGAUAAGAACUUUAAGUCACUGAAGAAAGAAAUUGAAGAAGAUAUCAGAAAAUGGAAAGAUCUCCCAUGCUCACGGAUAGGCAGGAUUAACCUAGUAAAAAUGGCAAUCUUACCAAAAUCAAUCUACAGAUUCAAUGCAAUCCCCAUCAAAAUCCAACACAAAUCUUCACAGACCUGCAGAGAACAAUACUCAACUUCAUAUG